rfam:Myotis brandtii contig294284, whole genome shotgun sequence.
GCCCGUGUUGCUCAAUGGUUACAGUGUCUGCCUGCAGCCAGUGGGUCUCAGGUUCAAGUCCUGGUCAAGGGCA